CCUGGUCCACAAGAACUAGUUCCAGGACAACCAGUCUUGAAAAAAAAAAAUUGAAUGAUAAAAAUUGCUAGGCAUAGUGGUGCACAGCUUUAUCCCCAGUUCUUGGGGGACAAAGGCAAUCGGAGCGCUGUGUGGGUUCAAAGCCCUCUUGCUCUACAUAGCAAAUUCUAGGCCAGCCCAGAAACCUUGUCUAAAAACAACAAAAGAAUGGUUCAGAUGAUAAUAUAUUUAUUAUUGUACAUAUAUUUAUCACAAAAAGUUCUAGGGCUGGGGAGAUAGCUCAUAAAGUGUUUGCUGUGUAUGCAUAAGGGCCUGUGUUUGGUCCCCUAAAUCCAAAUUUAAAUUAAAAGCAACAGCAACAAAGGGUGUGAUGAUAUAUGUUUGCAAUUCCAGCCUGCAAGGUGGACACAGGAGGAUGCCUGGGACUUGUGAACCAUCCAUCCUAAGCCUCUGUCAGAGAUAAGCCCUACAAGAUAGCUGGCUUCUGCGGAACAACAGCCAAGAUUGACCUCUGGUUCCCACAUGUAUGCACAUCCAUGUCCACCAGAUAAACAUGUACCCGCUACACACACACACACACACACACACACACACACGCACGCACACAAACAACACACAUGCAUGAAGUCAGCCAAUCUCGAAGAGGAAGGCUCGGUAGGCUCUGUUUCUAUGAGGGAGGGAGAAAUGAAGUUGAUUUUUAAGUCUUUAUUUUGAGUUUAUUUUGGGGUCUUCUUGCUUUGCUGCACACCUGUCUACUGGUGGAGCAGAGCAGCCAAGACACAGACCACGGAUGCUCUUAGGUGAGGGUCAAGUGAUCCCCAGCGGCAUCUACCUCUUCUGGGACUUUUCUUACCUAUCCACUUCACUUCAACCUUCUGCUCUUAGGAGUAACGUUGGAGCAUCCUCCGGUCCCCUGAGGGUGUGUGAAGCCAGAAUUGGUGGAUGGAAAUAUUAUAGGGUUCUUUCCAUCCCUAUCAUCUGUUUAUUUUCCUUCCUGUAUAUUUCAUAACGUGGUGUAGAGAUUUCUGAUUCAGCGGUUAAAAUAGCCUGUGUGUUAGUUAUCACUUCCCCGUGACCCACUUUAGACCCAAUUACUCAUUCUGGCGUUUGGGGUUCGAGUUUCAAAAAGAUUGUACUCUGCAACUGAAGUAUGUGUCUGGAGGAGAAAGGGGGGCUGGAGAGGACAGCGACAGAAUGCCUGUUUCUGUCCCAUUCUCCUGCGAAAGCUCUCACGCUCUACCCUCUCCAGUUACCCCACAACUAACACUCAAUGUUUCUCCAUCCUCACUCUCAUUUCCCUCCUGGGUGCUCAACUGGGACCCCAGUGAGACAGGUGCCUGCUCCUGGGAGACUCACACCAGGGAGCUUUCUCUCCUACUGUAGAGUCCAGCAAGAGUCUGGAGCAGGAAUUCCCAUCCAGUGGGCCGGCACUUGCAGACGCUCCCCGGAUAAUUCUGAGCUGGACCCUUGGGCCACAUUUUUUGAGUGACACACUGUGCCUGGGAAAAGGAGCUGGACGCUAUGCUCCACGGAAGAAACCGCGAAGACUGAAGGAGCCCAGAAAAAGGAGACACUGGGGUAGUCUGAGAGAUGAGGGGAGAGGACCCUGCGCAGAUGCGGAGGCACAGUGCGUUCUGUGGCGUGUGGCCUCUCCUCACGGAAUAAAAGGCCAGGGAGGGAGAAACGCCACUGUGGUGACAGCUAUUUGAAGAUGUGAAGUUUCCAAAGACCUCAGUGCUGGGACAUUCAACUCCAGGGCCCUACUACAGGGCUGCCAGGAUAAAUAGGAAAAAGGCAAUGGGUUCAGAAAUGCCUGGUACCAACCAGAAGUGCUCCUCACCUGCUUCUGCUUCCGAUUGCUCCAAGACUACUCAACACUUCUCUUCCGUAGCCUGGACCUCUGCAUCCUUCUGGAGCUGUGUCCUCCCUGGCAUCUCACAGCCACCUCAGAACCCAAGCUGCCUGCUGACUGAACCCUGCUUUCUACCUAAAGACACCUCUGCCUGGAUGUUCUUACCUCAGUCAGCGGGACUAGGGACCUUCCACCCAUCCCAUCACCUACAAGCCUUGUCCACACUCCACAGUUUGGAAAUUACUAAUCCUCUCAGCUUGACUCCCAAGCUACCAGCCAUUAUGACUCAUCUGUCCUUCAGUCUCUCUGGCUGGGUAAAUAUUAGCACAUGAAGAGACCACUGAAAUCAUUCUCUUCGGCCCCUCGGGAGUGACUUUAGCCUCUUGGGUAUAUGUUCAGCCUCUUUGGGAGUGUCACAAAUCCCUCACCAGUAUUCACCAGCCCUUCGGGCUUGCUCUCAUCCACCUCAGGAGUGUUCUCAGCCCUUCUGGAGUGUUCUCGGCCCCUCGAGAACGUUCUCAGCUCCUCACAAGUGUUCUCAGCCUGUGUGGUGUGUUCUCAGCUCCUCCAGAGUGUCCUCAGCCCCUGAGGUGUGUUUUUAGCGCCUCCUGAAAACAGCUCUUCAAGGAUGCUCUUAGCCCCACUAACAGUUUGUCGGCCUCCUUGGGCACGUUCUCAGCCUGUUGGGAGUAUUCUCAGCCCUUCAGGUGUUUCCAGCUCCCCCAGGUUGUCUGUCCUGCGCCUUCCACCUCUAGAAGGUGACAGCUGGAUAUUUCUCAGGUGAGAGGGGUGCACUCCCUUGUGUCUUUACAGGUGAGAGUUGCAGAAUUGGGUGCCUGCAGUUGAUGCUAGCUUGUCUUUGGUUUCCUGCCCCACUAACCCUCAAGGGUGUCUUUCUUCUUUGUGGUUAGCUCAAGACUACCACGUGGGUUCUUCGUUGCUAGCCUCACACCCACAUCCCAGACCGGAAGAAACAACUGCCAGCAUCCCUGUCUAGAAAGCAUCUCUUUUCCAGAAAUCCUCAGAAGAUUUCCCUUAAUCUCACCAACCAGAGCUAUGUCACAGGACAUCCACAGCUAAGGUUAGUCCAAGGCAAACAGCUAGGAGAGUCUCAAUUCUGACCUGGAAGCACUCACUCCCCGGAAGUGUCUGCCUGUGGGGACCAAGAAGAAAAGAGAUUGGUAGUGAUUAGUGCCCUCCUCAUGCUCCAUCUAAAAUGGGGUUAGAAUUUACCUUGGUGAGUCAUUGGAUUUCAGAGAGUGAUGUGGGAAUGAUUUCUUACUAAUAAAGAAACUGCCUUGGCCCAUUUUAUUGGAUAGAAAAUUAGGUAGGCGGAGUAUACAGAAGAGAAUUCUGGGAGAAAGAAGGUUAGAGGAAGAGUCGCCAUGAUGCUCCCACUCCAGACAGACGCAGGUUAAGAUCCUCUCUGGUAAGCCAGCUCAUGGGCUACACAGAAUAUUAGAAAUGGGUUAGAACAAUAUGUAAGAGCUAGCCAAUAAGAAACUGGACCUAGCCGGGCCAGGCAGUGUUUGAAAGAAUACAGUUUCCGUGUAAUUAUUUCUGGGUAUAAACUAGCCAUGCGGGCAGCCGG